CCGCUACGAAAGUAGCGAGUGCUCACUUUGUGAGAACCGCGUGACAGGUACUGCAUGGCUGUCGUCAGUUCGUGUCGUAAGAUGUUGGGUUAAGUCCCGUAACGAACGCACCCCUGUCUUUAGUUGCCAGCAUUAAGUUGGGGACUCUAGAGAGACUGCCAAGGUGACAACUUGGAGGAAGGUGGGGAUGACGUCAAGUCCAUAUGGUCCUUACAUCCAGGGCGAGAAACGUGCUACAAUGGUUGGUACAAUGGGGAGCAACAUCGCAAGAUUGAGCAAAUCCUCAAAACUACUCUCAGUUCGGAUUGGAGUCUGCAACUCGACUCCAUGAAGUUGGAAUCGCUAGUAAUCGCGGAUCAGCAUGCCGCGGUGAAUACGUAUCCGGGUCUUGUACACACCGCCCGUCAAGUCCAACCGAGUUAUUACCCG
rnacentral:rRNA from 1 species